UACGGGGGGGGCAAGCGUUGUUCGGAAUUACUGGGCGUAAAGGGUUUGUAGGUGGCUCGCUAAGUCAGACGUGAAAUCCCUCAGCUUAACUGGGGAACUGCGUCUGAAACUGAUGAGCUUGAGUGCAGGAGAGGAACGCGGAAUUCCAGGUGUAGCGGUGAAAUGCGUAGAUAUCUGGAGGAACACCGGUGGCGAAGGCGGCGUUCUGGACUGCAACUGACACUGUAAAACGAAAGCCAGGGGAGAGCAAACGGG
rnacentral:rRNA from 1 species